AAGUCGUAACAAGGUCUCCGUAGGUGAACCUGCGGAGGGAUCAUUAACACGUGUAAAAACGUAUUAUUUGCUAUCUAUAUCUUUACCCAUACCGUGAACUAUGUGCCAUAUAUUGAUUUUUUUUAUAUGACUUUUUGUAUUUUCUAUGUUAUAUUUCAUUAUAUAGCAUAGAGAAUGGGAAAGUUUGCAAACCCUUUUCCAAAACCUUUAUUUUUUUUAUUUUUUUGUUCUCUUUUGUAAUGAAAGGAAUGAAAGUAAUAUAAUAAAAAAUGACUAGCACAACUCUUAGCAACGGAUAUCUUGGUUCUC
rnacentral:misc_RNA from 1 species